AUGGGUGACCAAAAUGUCAUUAACGAAGUCCCCGCAGCUUUAAAGCGUUUGGCAAAAUACGUAGUGCGUGGAUUCUAUGGGGUGGAAUAUUCCCUCACUCUUGAUAUUCUCAUUCGCUAUCCUUGUGUGAAGGAGGAUGAUUUGCAACAACUACUAAAGUUUGAGAAAAAGCAGCUCCGAUCUGUUCUCAACACACUGAAAUCUGACAAGUUUCUGAAGAGUCGAAUAAGAGUUGAAACAAAUUCUGAGGGAAAGAGUUCCAGACAUAAUUAUUAUCAUAUCAACUAUAAGCUGUUAGUGGAUGUAGUCAAAUACAAACUGGACAUUAUGCGCAGGAAGAUCGAAACAGACGAGAGAAAUUCGACCACAAGAUCAUCGUUUAAAUGUCCGCUCUGUUUCAGCACAUUCACCGAUUUGGAAGUCAAUCAUUUGUUUGACCCUUGCACAGGCAAUUUUAACUGCACAUACUGCCAUACUGAGGUAGAAGAAGAUGCCUCUGCAAUACCUAAACGAGAUGCUCGAACCCUUCUGGCAACGUUUAACGAACAAAUUGAACCAAUUUAUGCACUUUUACAUGAAACUGAAGAUAUUGCUCUUCCACAUGAGCUUCUGGAACCCCAACCAACUGAGAUUCCAGAACUGGCACUAAGAAUCAGAAUGUACAAUGUCUUAAAAGUAAUGCUCAUCUGGAAAGAUGGUCAAACCAAACAGUUUACAGUGGCAUCUACGAACAAAACAUUGUAAUAAACGUGCAAGAAUCUGAUGCCAAAACUAAGGAAACUGCAAAGCUGGUUAAAUCGCAGCCCAUCUGGAUGACUGCAAGUACUGUUGAUGGAGCUGGUUUGGAUAUAGCGGAGAACUCAACUGAACAAACUGCUGCUGAAAUGUCUCAACAAAAUACAAAUUUGAACCACAAGACUCCAAAUUAUGAGGUCAUAAGAACACUUAUGAUUCAUGAGAAAAAAAUAUUAAGUGGAGCAACCUUCACUUCAAAUGCAAAUCGU